AUGAACGCUGGCGGCGUGCCUAAUACAUGCAAGUCGCGCGAACGGACGAGAAGCUUGCUUCUCUGAUGUUAGCGGCGGACGGGUGAGUAACACGUGGAUAACCUACCUAUAAGACUGGAAUAACUUCGGGAAACCGGAGCUAAUACCGGAUAAUAUUUUGAACCGCAUGGUUCAAAAGUGAAAGACGGUCUUGCUGUCACUUAUAGAUGGAUCCGCGCUGCAUUAGCUAGUUGGUAAGGUAACGGCUUACCAAGGCAACGAUGCAUAGCCGACCUGAGAGGGUGAUCGGCCACACUGGAACUGAGACACGGUCCAGACUCCUACGGGAGGCAGCAGUAGGGAAUCUUCCGCAAUGGGCGAAAGCCUGACGGAGCAACGCCGCGUGAGUGAUGAAGGUCUUCGGAUCGUAAAACUCUGUUAUUAGGGAAGAACAUAUGUGUAAGUAACUGUGCACAUCUUGACGGUACCUAAUCAGAAAGCCACGGCUAACUACGUG
rnacentral:rRNA from 1 species